GUACACGCUGUGACUAGCAUAUCAAUAAGCGGAGGAAAAGAAACUAACAAGGAUUCCCCUAGUAACGGCGAGUGAAGCGGGAAGAGCUCAAAUUUGAAAUCUUAAAGGGUUUCCCUUUACGAAUUGUAGUUUAAAGAAGUGUUUUCUGUUGAGGUUUUGGUAAAAGUUCUUUGGAAUAGGACAUCAUAGAGGGUGAGAAUCCCGUAUUUGACCUUUACUUUCAACUUUGUGAUACACUUUCAAAGAGUCGGAUUGUUUGGGAAUGCAGUCCAAAAUGGGUGGUAAAUUUCAUCUAAAGCUAAAUAUUGGCGAGAGACCGAUAGCGAACAAGUACCGUGAGGGAAAGAUGAAAAGAACUUUGAAAAGAGAGUUAAACAGUACGUGAAAUUGUCAAAAGGGAAGCGUUUGACACCAGUGUUGUUUUUCUGAAAAUCAAUUAAAGAACUGUUUAUGCUAAGUUGUUUAGACUUUAUCAGCUAUCUGUUUAGUUUUGAGCUUUUCCUUAAUGCACUUUUCAGUUAACAAGUCAACAUCAAUUUCUUUUGCUGUAAAAAAGCUUGAGGAAGGUGGCUUGAGAUUCGUCCUUAAGUGUUUAUAGCCUCUUGCCUAUGCAGUCGGAGAGAUUGAGGUCUGCAGCGUAGAUCCUUCGGGGCUAAAUGCAUUUGUGCUAAGUUAUAGCAUUUUCAUAGACAACUUGUUGACUAUGAUUUGUCUUGUAGCUUACUCGCUUAUGUUAUUUUACCUACGCUUAGGAUGUUGACGCGCGUGUGUGCGUG
rnacentral:rRNA from 1 species